UAACCCAGUGAUGCCUCUCCGAUCGGAUUCUCUUUAUUUUUAAGAAAAGCCGACUUUGAAGGACAAGAUCCACACCGUGGUGUAUGUGCUGGACGCCUGCAAGAUCAAACUUCUGUCGGAAAAGAUGAUCGAGAAACUGGCUGCUCUCUGCACAAAAGCCAUGCGAAUGGGAAUACCACAGAUGGUUCUGCUGACGAAGGUGGACGAAGCGUGUCCUUAUGUUGGAGAGGAUCUGAAACACAUCUAUCAGAGCCGUUACAUCUACAGGAUGAUGAACGAGGUGAGUGUACAGCUGGGCGUUUCUCUCAACACUGUGGUUCCAGUG